GAAAAAUAAAUGAAAGAGGGAAAUUAGGGUUUCCCAUGUGGCUAUUCAGCUUUUCUCGUGAAAACUCAGGGUUCUCUCCCUCAAACUCACAAACGGCGUACGGCGGUAAGCUCCGCUCUCAUCUCGUUGACGCGACGGCGAUGGCACAAUCCGUCUUCUCCGAUCGCCGUGAACUAAACCAACAAAACCUCCUCCUAUCUCCGCCUCUUACCACUAAGUUUCGUAAAGCUUUGAAUUCGGAACUCAGAGGCUCGAUUUCAUUCAAUUUGAAGCGAGGAAUGGAAAGGAGCACACACAUUAACCAUUGAAGCGAGUAAGAGCACUUACCUGUGGUGAAGAACCGGUGUGAAGUGAAGAGAAAAACCAGAGACAAGGAUCCGAUCGACAAUUGGCGAAAUAAACGCGGAAAGCUGAAGAAAUUCUUCAAGUCUGUUGAAUUUGUUUAUGAUCGUUUCAGAGCCUUCUUCCAUCAUGCUAACAUUUGGGGCUGAUUCGGAUGCAUCAGUAUCGUCGCGGCCAAAAAGAUCAAAUGUCGUCAUGAUAUGUCGGGUCCUUCUAUCAACACAAACAUUCUGAAUUGUUAUUGGAUUCUGCCAUGAACCGAUAGAGCGGGAGUUGUUCGCGGGUUUGAAAAGUGUAUUGAACUGGUUUUGGGUUUUGAAGUGCAGGGACAUCAUGAACUUAAAGGGAACACUUGAGAGAUUCAUCGCCCAAAGGAGAUCCUACUCGAUCUUUCCCUGUUCUGAGGCAGCAGCACUUCCAUUUAUAUAUAUUUUUUUGAUGUAAUUUCAGUUUCUUUCUCUUUUCAAUGUACAUGUACUUGGAUGAACCCCUUGAGAAUGUAUUAUAUUUGAAACAUGUAGUGAGACUUGAGAUUGAACCAUGUAAUGUUCCUUUUCUUCAGAAUGAAUUUUGACUUUGGUGUCAUUUACUUCUCUCAAUGCAUGAACGCGAAAAAAAGAAUCGCACUUUAAUCUUCAAAUUGACAGUUGACCCAAAAUCUUGCAAUAGAAGAAGCGAACUUUGACCAAUGGUUUGUUAUACAAAUAAUCCAAUAUUCCAACUUCAAAUGAUUGUAAGAAUCAUAUGACUCAAAUUUCAAAUGAGGAUGAGACCAAAUGGGACCCUAAGGUUGGAAUGUACCACCCCAAGGUCACAUAAACCUGACAAACGAAUCCAUGCUUGGGAAAUAAAUUUCAAUUCAGUGAGACUCUUGACUACCACAAGAUUAGGGAAAUAACCCCUAGAUCAAGAACCCCUUGUAACUGGAAACCAUCUGAACACAUGUCUUUCAAAAGACUAAGCCAACCACAAUCCUAAGUGUAGGAUACCCUUUCUGAGGAAAUAAAUAACC